CCUACGGGAGGCAGCAGUGGGGAAUAUUGCGCAAUGGGCGAAAGCUUGACGCAGCGACGCCGCGUGAGGGAUGAAGGUCUUCGGAUCGUAAACCUCUGUCAGCAGGGAAGAACGGUCACUGUGCUAAUCAGCAGUGAAUUGACGGUACCUGCAAAGGAAGCACCGGCUAACUCCGUGCCAGCAGCCGCGGUAAUACGGAGGGUGCGAGCGUUAAUCGGAAUUACUGGGCGUAAAGCGCUCGUAGGCGGUAUGUCAAGUCAAGGGUGAAGUCCCCGCGCUCAACGUGGGAACUGCCUUUGAAACUGGCAAACUGGAGUGUGUGAGAGGAUAGUGGAAUUCCAGGUGUAGGAGUGAAAUCCGUAGAUAUCUGGAGGAACAUCAGUGGCGAAGGCGACUAUCUGGCACAUAACUGACGCUGAGGAGCGAAAGCGUGGGUAGCAAACAGGAUUAGAUACCCGGGUAGUC
rnacentral:rRNA from 1 species